AGAAGAAAUGCCAAAAAAAGAAAAGGAAAUUAUGAGCCAGAGGGUUUAAAGCUCCCAGCUGAAUAAAGAGAAACUGGAAAGUAUCUUAAUGACAGAGGAGCAGAUAUGACAAUAAUGAUAAUAAAAACCUAGAGGUUAGAGUUGAAGGCCAGACUGUCAAACCAGGCAGUCUGCCCAGGGUGCUGAGAGACAAGACUUGCCAGGAGAAAUGCGUACUCCAGAGAUCUGCUUCGGAGCCUUAGGGAUGUAAUUCCCUUUCAGUGAUCUAAUGUGGAUACAAAAGGCAAUUUCAGGAGGUAACAACUCACUUGAAGCUUUUGAAACUUCCUCAGAUGAACAAAUUUAUGCAGGCCUUUUUCUUCCUCACAGUUGUUUUCAGCUGAUGAAUUUCCAGCAUACAACAGGCGUUCUUAUUAAUUCCUAAAUGCAUGACCUUGCAUACUGAACUACUUCAAUUUCAUCCUAUUGCUCUUGCUCCAGUUCUCAAGGUGACACAUUCCUCCUGCACACUGACAAUUGCUCACAACUUUUGUGAUCACUGCAUUUCAUUAUUGGACUCCUGCCUCUGUGUCAAGGACUCUAAUGAAAAUAUUAAAUAAAAUUGUCCCAAAUUGAAUCCUUUGGGGGCUCUAUUGAUGGUCUCAGAAUAUCAUUAAGUCUUACACUUUACUACUAAUUGCACUAUAUUAUUUACAUUGUAGUAGCAAUACAAGACUCAACCACCCUCUACCACUAUGCGUAUAUAUACACAAUAGAAGACAGCCACUGUCCAGAGGAGCCAACAGCUCAAACUGAUAACUAGAGACAGGUUGGAAGUAGUAUUCAGAGCCAGUGCCAAACAAAAGCACAUAAUUGCCCAAGAAAUCCAACACAGAUCUGCUGAAUACCAGUGUGGUGUUAUGAAAAACCUAUCUAUCUUCUCUAAAGCAUUACUCUAUUCAUCAACAGAAACAAGGCACUGACAUGUUUCAAAGACAUCAUUUCUGAAACAAGUAGGUUAAAUAUUCAAGAGGAUAAUUUAAUAUAAUAUAGUAGAAAGUCUUAACUGAAUAUGACAUAAA
ensembl:lncRNA